AAUAAAAUUGAAGUUUCAUACAAUAUUUGCUUCACAGCCUUUGUAGUGUAUAGUCAUUUGGCUCCCGGAACAAAUUUACCUUCUUUUGUGAAAAAAAAUCAAAGUAAUGCUCUUAUUAUAUGCUCUGCUAUGACCUUUGAUGAUUUGCCUUGCAUAGCCCAGUUGGUAGAGUCAUGAAACUAGAUCCUGAGAUGACUGUAGGAAUAAUCUUAUUUUAAUCUGUGGCUAUCCAUGGCCAUAGAAUACUUGGUCUUCCUUUUUGAAAGCACCGUUUUGCAUAGUUAAUAGUUAUAAUUUUCUCCUAUGCUAACCUGCCAGUCCAAUGAGCUAUGCCACAAGUCAUAACCAGGUUUGCAAGAUUAAGAUGGACUCAUUUGCAUAUAACAGGAAGUUAACUUUAGCAGUGUUUAGUUUAAGAGGAUGAAAAGAUAUUGAGGCCAAAUAUUUGGGAAGAUGAGCAAAGUAUAAAUUAAAUAAAGUGGGUGCAAGUACAUAUCUUUGACUUGUUCCAUGUGUGGAAGAAAGUACUAAAAUAGAUUACCACUGUUACUACAACACAGGCAAUUACCCACUUACAUGGGAGUUACAUUCUGGGGGCCUUGUGUGCAUAAAGAAAAAGUACAUAAGUGAGGAGAAGCCUCUAAAACUAGGGUGAUUUAAGAGGCACCAGAAGUACCUUUUUCUUUCAUACCUUUGCCUCUAGAUUGCAGGAAAGGGCAGGGAACAGUGUGUCCGAGCCCACUGCAAUACAGCUUUGCACCCAACAGCUGUUGAAUAGGGUUGUGUGGCAGCAGUGAGAGCCCCUGCACACCAUUUUGGAAUCCACAAUUUCCUUUUUUAAAAAGCCUUUUAAACCUUUAUUUAUGGAAUUUGGUUCAUUGACAUCCCCUUUAGGCUCUGGGAAGGGUCUCCUCGCGAGCCACGAGGACUUUCCAGCUCUCCCACCAUUUCCAGGUUUGAAUUGAAUUAUUUAUUUAUUUCCCAGUACUACACAUAUCUGCGAUCACACAUGAGUUGAUCGCACUUUAAGUGAGGGUAUGUCUGUAUAGUUAGGUUGAUGUGCUUUGAUAUAAGCUUGGAUCAACAGCAACCGUCUCUUAAACAUAGUAGUCUAAUUCAGUUUGCUCUAUAAUCUCUGGCAGUAAAUAAGACCAAAGGUUGCUUUUAAAUCAGUGCAGGCUGUCUUCCUUUGGUUUUGUUUUAUUACUCUGCCAAGUAUAACAGUACUAGGCAGCGAUCUUGUUUAGAGUGACCUGAUGUAAACACCAUUUACUUUCACCCAAAGUUAUUAUGGUCACUAAUGCAGGCAUUAUGUUUUAUUGCAUGGAAAGCUGGCACAAACGUUUCCUGUAAUAGAUCUUACACACACAGGGCAGUAAUUAUUAGGGUCCUCUUUGGGGUGUCUGGAUUCAUCUUGCAAACUUCAGACUAUAGUUUUCAGAUCACUAUGAGAAAUUAUGUUGGACUAGAUGGGCCAUUGGCCUGAUCCAACAGGCUCUUAUGCUGGCAGCGAUACCUUUUCCAAAGAACAGUUCCUCAGGAGAUCACAGAUAGAUGUGACUGAUCACAGAACAUCAUGUGUUGCCAGAUAACCUACCUUCUUUCCUGAUGUACUGAAUGGCUGUUAAACAGAAUAAAGGGUAAAUGUGUGUGUGGUUAACGAAUAGAAAUUACAGUGAAAUUUUACCCACCUGUGCAGUGUGUGAAAUGGCUGGCUUAUUGAAAGCAGUUUUUCAUCUAAGCCUUUAAACCAUAUCACUUGGGUAUCUCCCCAUGGCUCUGUUCAGCAUCUGAAUGUAGAAACAGCCUGCGAGGUAAUAGUUUGGUUUUACUGAGACCUAGUUAAUUGAAAUAUGACUCAUUACCACCUGAGCUUUGACUUGGAAUUGCAGGGGAGAAAUUUAAUGACAGAGAUAGCUUUUGAGCUGUGGGUUCUGUUUUGCAGGCUUUAAUGAGAUACGUAAUUGUUCCUAAUCAGAUAUCUUUUCCACCAGUAUUUGCUUUAGAGCUGUUUCAUUUCCCCCUAUAAAAAAGGCAAUCACCCAUUCCUUCCAUCAAAGUAAAAAUAAAUAAAUGAUUAUUUCUAAAGAAUGAUAAUAAAAAAGCCCAAGCCUAUUCUUUCUCAGUGGUAAUAUUUAGACAUUUGGCUUCUUCCUCCAAAAAACUGCCUUCACUCUGUCAUGAAGAACAGCAAAUUUAUAAACUGAAAAAUAUAUCAAUAACCAGAGUUAAUAAAUUGAAGAUGCCAAUGUUUAAAAACAUAUCUGAAUAAUAGCUAGCUAUUUGAGGUUUAUUCCAGUAUUGCAAAGAGAGAGACAGUGGGGCUGCUUUCCUGGGAAAUGUUUCUGAGGUAAUUUGCUUGGUUAAAGUAAGUCACAAAAAUGUACUGGCUUAGAUAUAUAUGUAACACACAAGCAAGUACCAAUAUGGAUGCAUACACGGAGGACCACGAAGUUGCUGUUUUUGUUUUACUAACCUUUAGCAAUUUCUUUGCCGACUCCCUCACCUUCAUUCUGAAUAUCCCUUAAAUCGGUGACUUCAAAACUUUCAACCUGUGCUUUAAGACUGAAAGAUGCCACCAGACUCCUUAAUAAAAAUGUCUUGCCGCCUUUAAAAAAAUGCUUUACUUGCCUAGUUAAAAUAUGCAGUUUUCAACAUUUUUUUUUUUUGUUUAUAGUAAUUAUACCCCACCCUUUAGCCAAAAAGGGUCUCAGAGCAGAUUUCAAAUAGCUUUCGAACCAGCAUUCAAAUAGCUAUUGUUGAAUUGUUUCUCCACUUGGAAACAGUAUUCCAUGCAAGUGUAGAAGAAAGACACACUUUACAAUUAUUUGAUGGAAGCCUAGCUAUGUGAGUAAAUCAGGCUAGUUUUACAUGCAAUGAACCACCUAUAGUAGUAGGUGGUCCUGUGAAUUCAUUGCUCUGCUCCUUCCUUUUCUAAGAUUCAGCCACCUACCUUUCCAUCUUGCUCCUGCCAUUCUCUUUGGUUACUGUCAUGCUAUGAUGAAGUUAACACCUCUCCUUUCCCCCUUCCCCAGGUCUGAGGGCAGCCUUUCUAAGUUCACACACCGGUUAUCAAUUAAACAGAAGCAGGAGAAGAGAAGGAAAGCUGAGUAUGCCUCGGCUGAGCUGUCUGCUUUCCGUCCCAGAUCUCUGAGCAUUGAAUGGUAAGAGAUGCAGUGUUGGGCUCAGGACAGAACAAAAUCAUACCCCAUGCAUUGCCACACUUUGACCUUUUUGCUGUCACACUUUUCCAUGCCAGGGAGAAACCAGCACAUUUAAAGCAAAUUGAGUUAAAACUGUUGGCCCAUAUAAGAAUCCAUCUGAGGGCAAGUCACAUUUAAAACAGCAGGCAUCCUUGAUGCAUUUGCAACAGUGAUCCUAGUGAAGAUCAGAGAUGCACCUAGUGUGCAGAGAUGCAUUUCUCCAAAUACAUAUGUGCCUUGGCCAGUAGUGUCCCAGGGUGUUAACAGGUGCAUGUCUGCAUUUCACAUGUUCCAAAAAGGAAAUACCAUAGUAAACUCUGCAAACUCACUCCAAGUCAAACCACAGGACCAAGAUUAACAGGCCACACAGUCAGAAGCAAGCUAAACAAAGAGUUGAUUCUCAGAACUGCUUUGUAGCAGAAUGCUUAAUUUUUCAGUCUGUUGCUUCACAUUCACAGCAUGUGGAUCAUCUGAAUCAUUCAUCACAAGUACAGACUGCAGUUUGGCACAUGGCUGCUCAGUUCAAACUAAAAAGGUUCAUGAUGGCAUGCCAAAUUGCAAUUUGUACUUGUGAUGAACUGUUCAGAGGAUGCACUCACCAUCUUAAGAUUUAGCUCAUGCUGUAAAAUAAAACAGCUGGCCAUGUUCAAAAACUUCUUCAUACAAUCAAGAGUCAGAGGAUAUUACUGCACAGUUCAUAUCACAUGAAAACCCUGUCUAUUACAAAAAAUAAAAAAUCCUUAGAUCCCUUAGCCACACCACCUACCAACAGCCCUACUGUGACACAGUCAUUUAUUUAGAUGUAAAAGAGUGGUAAGCUAGAAUCUGAUAAGUAAAUCUCUCUCAACUCACAUAACCUCAUCUAAAUUUUACAAAGAUCAAAAUGGAAAUCAGUUUAUGAAUAGUUAUCCCUGGAUUGUGUGGAUUUUCCCAAGCUUAAAGCAAAGCUAGGCCUUGAUCAAGUCCAGGAUGAGGAAGAAAUUCAGUGUUGGAGGGCAAAACAAAGAGGCAAUGUUGUGAAGCCAGCACACAAUUUGGAAUAAAGUGGACAGCAAGUCAUCAAGGAGGGACUCAGGACUGGAACAAAGCAAGCUCAGCAAGGCCCAAAUGAGGAAGAAAGUUGUUCAGGCAGGUGAGGGUGAAUGACAAGUUUCUCUCUUGUGAUAUUUUAGACCAGUGGCACACAGUUCCCACUGAAAUGGUAACUACAUCUUUAUGUCUUCCCUCCCUUUCCAUAGCAUCUUCAAAAAUCUUACCCAUAUCCUCACCUUCCCCAAUCUUACUCCAUGGCUGCCUCUUGCAGAAGACAGAGAAACAUGGAAUGCUAUAAUAUCAAGUAGGGCUCGGCUGGACAUUUUGGUCAGCCAAAAUUUGGCCCAAAUUCUUGAUGUUUGAAGGGAAGCUGCAGGAAAAACAACCUCUCCCAAUUUAUUUAUCUAUUUAUUAUUAAAUGUGUACAUCUUCAUCAGAAGAUCACAAUGCAGUUCAUAACAUUAAAAGUACAAAAUAAGAACACAAAAUACAUAAUGGAACAAAAACAAACCAAUACCUCCCAUAAACACAUAUUUGAUUUCAAAGUUCAGGCAGUGGCAGUGGAAGCUCCAGGAGGUGGAAUUUCAAGGGGGGAAGUGAAAUGGAAGUGGUCUGAGGGCUCUUCCUUAUU
rnacentral:lncRNA from 1 species